UACGAAGGGGGCGAGCGUUGUUCGGAUUUACUGGGCGUAAAGGGCGCGCAGGCGGCUUUGUUUGUCAGGCGUGAAAGCCCCGGGCUUAACCUGGGAACUGCGUUUGAUACGGCAGGGCUAGAGUUCGGGAGAGGAGAGUGGAAUUCCCAGUGUAGAGGUGAAAUUCGUAGAUAUUGGGAAGAACACCAGUGGCGAAGGCGGCUUACUGGUCCGGUACUGACGCUGAGGUGCGAAAGCGUGGGGAGCAAACAGG
rnacentral:rRNA from 1 species